CGAUAGCAUAUCCAGUAGUAGAUUACCGGCAGAGUCAAUUCUUCCAGAUCCGAGUUAUAUUCACUGAUAUUAGGGCAUAUACCCAGAAUUGGAUCACCCAUAUGAUCAGUCAAUAAUGGUCAAAUACAUCCUUAUAAGCCGAAAGGAGAAUGUUUAAUAAAGGUGUGAUGUAGCCCAGAUAAGGCUCGCGAGACUUUAUACAGAUGUAUAUAUACAUUUAUAUAUCUCCAACAUAACAGAUCAAAUAAACGGAGCAAAUGAGAAACCCUCAUUUAGACCCAAAGGUUGUAAA